rnacentral:rRNA from 1 species
AUGGCCAACAGCAACCUCCCCCGCCGCAUCAUCAAGGAGACGCAGCGGCUGCUCAGCGAACCAGCUCCUGGGAUCAGUGCUUCACCAUCAGAGGAGAACAUGCGCUACUUCAAUGUCAUGAUCCUUGGCCCAACUCAGUCGCCAUAUGAAGGAGGAGUAUUCAAACUUGAGUUGUUUUUACCUGAAGAAUAUCCAAUGGCUCCGCCAAAGGUUCGCUUUCUCACAAAAAUUUACCAUCCAAACAUUGACAAGCUUGGGAGGAUAUGCCUUGAUAUCUUAAAGGACAAGUGGAGUCCUGCCCUUCAGAUCCGAACAGUUCUUUUGAGCAUUCAAGCACUCCUCAGCGCUCCAAAUCCUGACGAUCCGCUUGCUGACAAUGUGGCAAAGCACUGGAAGGCCAACGAAACAGAAGCUGUGGAAACAGCCAAAGAGUGGACCCGUGUCUACGCUAAUGAUGCAUGA